GCAACUUAACAAAAAUAACACUGAAAAUAUUUCUUAAAGCUUCCAAUUGCCCAGCAGUAUCUUUAUAGAAAUUACCAUUUUCCUCCUAUUAGGCCUGAAAUGAGAAUAAAAAGAGUACAGAGACACUCUUUGUAAUCACUACUGUUAUUAACUGAUUACAUUAAGUGCUACGUAGGAGAUCAGACGUCUGUAAAACACAAUAAUUAGUGUGAAAAGAACUGUAGCCUGACCACUGAUUUCAGAUCAAUUUCUAGGUUGUUUUUUUUCUUGUUUGAUUUGGUUGCUUUUUAUGGAUGGUCAAUAGCGAUCUGUUUCAAAUUAAUAUAUAUUUCUUUUUAUUGCCUUAUAGCAUUACAGACAUUACCUAUGCCUCCCUGGGCUGUUAUAUGUCUUCAAGACAAUCCCCUGCACGUCCAGUGUAACAACUGGAGGGCCGACCACUUCUCCAGACCAUCUUGCAACCUAAGGAUGGCGUGGAAAACUGUACAGCUCUGGAAGAAUUUUCCAUCAGUUCUCCCUUGUGAAAGACUCAACUGAAAUUGGAGAAACUGCCUCAAUGAACAAAGAUUUUGAAAAGCUUAAGUAUUUGCUGAGUUGUUGCCAUGAGCAAAGGAGCCAACAAGAUUUCAGGCAGG
rnacentral:lncRNA from 1 species